GUAAGGAAUAUUGGACAAUGGACGCAAGUCUGAUCCAGCCAUGCCGCGUGAAGGAUUAAGGUCCUCUGGAUUGUAAACUUCUUUUAUAAGGGACGAAAAAAGGCUUUUCUAAGUCGUCUGACGGUACCUUAUGAAUAAGCACCGGCUAACUCCGUGCCAGCAGCCGCGGUAAUACGGAGGGUGCAAGCGUUAUCCGGAUUCACUGGGUUUAAAGGGUGCGUAGGCGGGCAGGUAAGUCAGUGGUGAAAUCCUAGAGCUUAACUCUAGAACUGCCAUUGAUACUAUCUGUCUUGAAUAUUGUGGAGGUAAGCGGAAUAUGUCAUGUAGCGGUGAAAUGCUUAGAUAUGACAUAGAACACCUAUUGCGAAGGCAGCUUAUUACGCAUAUAUUGACGCUGAGGCACGAAAGCGUGGGGAUCAAACAGGAUUAGAAACCCCAGUAGUCC
rnacentral:rRNA from 1 species